AGUGAACGCUGGCGGUAGGCCUAACACAUGCAAGUCGAACGGCAGCACAGUAAGAGCUUGCUCUUACGGGUGGCGAGUGGCGGACGGGUGAGGAAUACAUCGGAAUCUACUUUUUCGUGGGGGAUAACGUAGGGAAACUUACGCUAAUACCGCAUACGACCUACGGGUGAAAGCAGGGGAUCUUCGGACCUUGCGCGAUUGAAUGAGCCGAUGUCGGAUUAGCUAGUUGGCGGGGUAAAGGCCCACCAAGGCGACGAUCCGUAGCUGGUCCGAGAGGAUGAUCAGCCACACUGGAACUGAGACACGGUCCAGACUCCUACGGGAGGCAGCAGUGGGGAAUAUUGGACAAUGGGCGCAAGCCUGAUCCAGCCAUACCGCGUGGGUGAAGAAGGCCUUCGGGUUGUAAAGCCCUUUUGUUGGGAAAGAAAAGCAGCAGGUUAAUACCCCGCUGUUCUGACGGUACCCAAAGAGUAAGCACCGGCUAACUUCGUG
rnacentral:rRNA from 1 species